GAUGAACGCUGGCGGCGUGCUUAACACAUGCAAGUCGAACGAAGCGCUUAAACGGAUUUCUUCGGAUUGAAGCAAUUGUGACUGAGCGGGCGUACGGGCGAAGGUACGCCGUAGGUAACCUGCCUCAUACAGGGGGAUAACAGUUGGAAACGGCUGCUAAUACCGCAUAAGCGCACAGUACCGCAUGGUACGGUGUGAAAAACUCCGGUGGUAUGAGAUGGACCCGCGUCUGAUUAGGUAGUUGGUGGGGUAACGGCCUACCAAGCCGACGAUCCAGUAGCCGACCUGAGAGGGUGACCGGCCACAUUGGGGACUGAGACACGGGCCCAA
rnacentral:rRNA from 1 species